rnacentral:rRNA from 1 species
GACGAACGCUGGCGGCGCGCCUAACACAUGCAAGUCGAACGGAGCUGAGAGAAGCUUGCUUUUCUUAGCUUAGUGGCGAACGGGUGAGUAACGCGUGAGUAACCUGCCCUGGAGUGGGGGACAACAGUUGGAAACGACUGCUAAUACCGCAUAAGCCCACGAUCCGGCAUCGGAUUGAGGGAAAAGGAUUUAUUCGCUUCAGGAUGGACUCGCGUCCAAUUAGCUAGUUGGUGAGGUAACGGCCCACCAAGGCGACGAUUGGUAGCCGGACUGAGAGGUUGAACGGCCACAUUGGGACUGAGACACGGCCCAGACUCCUACGGGAGGCAGCAGUGGGGGAUAUUGCACAAUGGGGGAAACCCUGAUGCAGCGACGCCGCGUGGAGGAAGAAGGUUUUCGGAUUGUAAACUCCUGUCGUUAGGGACGAUAAGGACGGGACCGAACAAGAAAGCACCGGCUAACUACGU